GAGAGUUUGAUUCUGGCUCAGAACGAACGUUGGCGACGCGUUUUAAGCAUGCAAGUCGAGCGAGAAGCCGGUUUCGGCCGGUGGAGAGCGGCGGACUGGUGAGUAACACGUAGAUAAUCCGCCAUCCAGUCCGGGAUAGCUCCUGGAAACAGGGAUUAAUACCGGAUGUUGUCCGGUCACACAAGUGGCCGGAUAAAAGGUCCGUUUGGACCGCUGGAUGAAGAGUCUGCGUCCUAUUAGCUAGUUGGCAGGGUAAGAGCCUACCAAGGCGAUGAUAGGUAGCCGGCCUGAGAGGGUGUACGGCCACAUUGGGACUGAGAUACGGCCCAGACUCCUACGGGAGGCAGCAGCUAAGAAUAUUCCGCAAUGGGCGAAAGCCUGACGGAGCGACGUCGCGUGGACGAUGAAGGCCUUCGGGUUGUAAAGUCCUUUCGGCAGGGAAGAAUAAGGCAGUAAGGAAAUGUGCUGCCGAUGACGGUACCUGCAGAAGAAGCCCCGGCUAACUACGUGCCAGCAGCCGCGGUAAUACGUAGGGGGCAAACGUUGUUCGGAAUUAUUGGGCGUAAAGCGCACGCAGGCUGGCGGAUAAGUUAGUGGUUAAAUCCUCAGGCUCAACUUGAGAUCUGCCACUAAUACUGUCUGCCUAGAGUUGCACAGAGGCAGUAGGAAUUCCUGGUGUAGGGGUGAAAUCUGUAGAUAUCAGGAAGAACACCAAUGGCGAAGGCAAACUGCUGGGUGACGACUGACGCUGAGGUGCGAAAGCCAGGGGAGCGAACAGGAUUAGAUACCCCGGUAGUCCUGGCCGUAAACGAUGCACACUAGUUGUUGGGUAUUUAACAAUACUCAGUGACGCAGCAAACGCGUUAAGUGUGCCGCCUGGGGAGUAUGCCCGCAAGGGUGAAACUCAAAGGAAUUGACGGGGGCCCGCACAAGCGGUGGAGCAUGUGGUUUAAUUCGAUG
rnacentral:rRNA from 1 species